GACUGGGUCCUGUGCAACAAGCGCCCGUGAACCAGGUCAGGACCGGAAGGUAGCAGCCUUCAUCGGCAUCGCCUGUGUGCCGCAGAUCGCCUAGUCACC
rnacentral:SRP_RNA from 1 species